rnacentral:tRNA from 1 species
AGGGACUUAGGUAUAACAUUUAGACCAAGGGCCUUCAAAGCCCUUAGCGGGAGUGAGAAUCUCCCAGUCUCUG